rnacentral:tRNA from 2 species
CGGGAUGUAGCGCAGUCUGGUAGCGCACCUGCUUCGGGAGCAGGGGGUCGCACGUUCAAAUCGUGUCAUCCCGACCA